UCUAAACGCGCCGCCGCUUCCUGUUGCUUCCGUCUCCCGUUGCGCCACCACUUAAUUGAGAAGAUAAAUUGUGAAAGGUUCUGAUCGAAAGGAACCUUGUUCUCGUUGCCUUACUUCUUUUGAAAGUUAUGAUCGGAUUUGCCAAGCACUCAACAUCCGAAACUUGGUGAAUACACUCACUUACUCCCCAAACAAUUCCCUUGAUUUCUUUUCGUCGACGGAGUUAUCAGUUGGAAGUCGUAGUAUUAGCUGACGAAGAAGAGAACUACGUAAGUCGGUCGAUUAAGUUUGAUUCUUACGCCUAUGCACGAGCAUUUUCAGGAAUGCAUCAACGAAGGCAACGAAGUCAGGGGGAAAGCUGUUCGGCGUGUUUGGACUUGCUCUGUCUUAACAUCUUGGUUAACAUGGAUGAUUUCUUGCUAUGCUGAUAACACCUGCGCUGAGGAUGCCUUGCAAUUUUUCUCUAGGAUGACCAUUGUUGGCUUGCGACCUAACAAUUUCUGACUCACUAGACUGAUUAAAGCAGCACAUGGUCUUGGUAAUGAUGUUUUAAUCCUGUUCAAUCAAAAUGAAGGAACUCAAGCUUCAGCCCUGGUGCUAAUUUUGUAGGUGUCUUGCCCUCAUGCAGUAAUGCGGGUUUAAGUUAUUUUAUUUCUAUAAACGAACUAGGAGUAUGGUAUCAGAGAUCAGACCUUGUGCGGAGCAUUAUGCUUGCAUGGUUAGGCUUUCAGGUCAUUCUGGUCUUUUGAAUGAUGCUGUGGAAUUUAUUGACCAGAUGCAUGAAGAACCUAGUGUUAUGGUUCGGCGUGCACUACUAGGUGCUUGGUUGCUGCCUGGAAUCCUGAGAGAUGCUAGGAGCGAACUUCCCUUUUGCUACCUUGGUUGCUGCCUGGAACCUGCGUUUUUGCGCAGAGUGCCAUGCUGCUUUAAUUUCACUGUAAUAUCUUAAAUUGCUAACUGUAAGAGAUAUCAAACGCUUUCAUCAUUUUGAGGAUGGAAUUUGCUCCUGUGGUGAUUAUUGGUGAUGCUUUAUUAGUUUAUUUGUUCUGACGGUAUUUGCAGUCGCUGAUGAGAAUCUGAAAACCACAAUAUGGCAAGGAGCAGUAACAUGAUAAGGGGCAUAACUUACACCAUUGUUCUAGUGUCGGCCUGCAAGGUCCCUGUCAGAGGGAAUUUAAAACCGUCUGUGAUUGACUGUCUGCCAACUGCAGCAAGUAAAACGAGCAAG